CAGUAGCCGCGGGAAUACGUAGGUGGCAAGCGUUGUCCGGAAUUAUUGGGCGUAAAGGGAGCGCAGGCGGGCGAGUAAGUCUUUCUUAAAAGUGCGGGGCUCAACCCCGUGAGGGGAGAGAAACUACUCAUCUUGAGUGCAGGAGAGGAAAGCGGAAUUCCUAGUGUAGCGGUGAAAUGCGUAGAUAUUAGGAAGAACACCAGUGGCGAAGGCGGCUUUCUGGACUGUAACUGACGCUGAGGCUCGAAAGCCAGGGGAGCGAACGGGAUUAGAUACCCGCGUAGUCCCUGUCUCUUAUACC
rnacentral:rRNA from 1 species